ensembl:lncRNA
UGGACCUGGACCUGGACCUGGAUCCAGCUGUGUGUCCGUGAAGAGUGACCAGUCAAAGGAGCAUCCCCUUCAUUUCAGACAAUCUGCAGGUGGAAGGAUCCAGCAGCAGAGACCAGACUGUCCUGAACCCAGCUGUCUGUCCUUCAGGAGCAACCAGUCAAAGGAUGAAUUAAUUAACUUUAAAGACGUCCGUUCAUCUGCUGAUCAGAUAGUUGAGCAGCAGAACUCGGAGCUUCCCAGAGCUCAAUCUGUCCAGCAGCAUCACCUGGACUCCAUAUUCAUGCUGCUGGAGGACAACAUGGUGACUUUUGUGAAGAAGGAGCUGAAGAAGAUGCAGAAGGUUGUGAGUCCAGAUUACCCAGAAUGCUCAGAGAGUCAGAGGGAGGAGGAGAAG